rnacentral:rRNA from 1 species
UGCCUUACACAUGCAAGUCGAACGGCAGCACGGGAGCAAUCCUGGUGGCGAGUGGCGAACGGGUGAGUAACACAUCGGAACGUGCCCAAUCGUGGGGGAUAACGUAGCGAAAGCUACGCUAAUACCGCAUACGAUCUACGGAUGAAAGCGGGGGAUCGCAAGACCUCGCGCGAAUGGAGCGGCCGAUGGCAGAUUAGGUAGUUGGUGGGGUAAAGGCUCACCAAGCCUGCGAUCUGUAGCUGGUCUGAGAGGACGACCAGCCACACUGGGACUGAGACACGGCCCAGACUCCUACGGGAGGCAGCAGUGGGGAAUUUUGGACAAUGGGCGCAAGCCUGAUCCAGCCAUUCCGCGUGCAGGAUGAAGGCCUUCGGGUUGUAAACUGC